rnacentral:rRNA from 1 species
GACGAACGCUGGCGGCGUGCUUAACACAUGCAAGUCGAACGGAAAGGCCCUGCUUUUGUGGGGUGCUCGAGUGGCGAACGGGUGAGUAACACGUGAGUAACCUGCCCUUGACUUUGGGAUAACUUCAGGAAACUGGGGCUAAUACCGGAUAGGAGCUCCUGCUGCAUGGUGGGGGUUGGAAAGUUUCGGCGGUUGGGGAUGGACUCGCGGCUUAUCAGCUUGUUGGUGGGGUAGUGGCUUACCAAGGCUUUGACGGGUAGCCGGCCUGAGAGGGUGACCGGCCACGGUGGGGAGAGGGCGCGCCCAACACACACGGGGGGGGCGGGGGGGGGGAAAAGGGCACAGGGGGGGGAGGCCUGGUGCGGCAGCGCGGGGGGGGGGAGGCCGGCCUGCUGGGUGUCGGCCGGUGUCGGCGGGGAGGAAGCGUGAGUGAGGGAAGGGGGCAAAGAAGCCCCGGCAAAAUACGUACCAGCGGCGGCGGUAAUAGGCGGCAGAGCACACGUCUGCAC